rnacentral:misc_RNA from 1 species
GCUGCUGCCGUGGCUAAUCGCCGGAGUUGCGAAAAUCACGGGCGAAAUCAACGAAUUUUCCGCGCGGUUGCCUGCGAUGAUCGCGGUGGUGCUGACGGGGCUGCUGGUUCAGUCACUGACGCGUCGCUACGCGAGCCUGAACGCAUCGCUGCUUGCGGCGGUGCUGUUCAUGUUUUCUCCGAUGCUGUUGCAGAAGCUCGCGA